rnacentral:rRNA from 1 species
CACGUAGGCGGACAUUUAAGUCAGGGGUGAAAUCCCGGGGCUCAACCCCGGAACUGCCUUUGAUACUGGGUGUCUUGAGUCCGGAAGAGGUGAGUGGAAUUGCGAGUGUAGAGGUGAAAUUCGUAGAUAUUCGCAGGAACACCAGUGGCGAAGGCGGCUCACUGGUCCGGUACUGACGCUGAGGUGCGAAAGCGUGGGGAGCAAACA